rnacentral:lncRNA from 1 species
GUAGACUCACCUUUCUAAUUAUGUUCUUAGCUAACAUUAACACUGGUUGACAUGCCCUGACUUUGAAAAAAAUGGAAGGGAAUUAAUUUCAGACUGUUAUAAAAUCCACCUAAAUAAUUCACAAACUAGAUAAUCCAUAUACAAAUAAGACAGAGUUUACGGAAUACCUCUCUGUGUUAAAAGGUACACUUUUGAUACAUGAAAGUAGAAAGUACUUGUAUAAACUGCAUGA